rfam:Firmicutes bacterium CAG:884 genomic scaffold, scf83
AAUAACAGACAAACGCUGCAUUCUUUGUAAUGUAGAGGAAAGUCCAUCCUCGCACUAUCUGUGAUGAUAGUAGUGUUUAUGUAAGGGGAAUAAAUAACCCUUAGUAGCAUUAAGCUAACGGCGGCUAAAACCUUAAACGGUAUAUGCCAUAAAGUGCCACAGAAACGAGUAUUUGGGAAACCAAAUAAUGAAACGCGGUAAACCCCAUAAGCGAGAAACCCAAAUUAUGGUAGGGGAACCUUGAUGUCGGAAUUAAGAACGAAUAAAGGAUCGAAAGAUAGAUAAAUGUUUGUCACCUUUAAUAAGGUACAGAAUAUGGCUUAUGUU